ACCUAAGAGAUUAGGCGUUCCCUUCGGGGACGGAAUGACAGGUGGUGCAUGGUUGUCGUCAGCUCGUGUCGUGAGAUGUUGGGUUAAGUCCCGCAACGAGCGCAACCCUUAUUGUCAGUUGCCAGCAUUUAGUUGGGCACUCUGGCAAGACUGCCGGUGACAAACCGGAGGAAGGUGGGGAUGACGUCAAAUCAUCAUGCCCCUUAUGACCUGGGCUACACACGUGCUACAAUGGACGAUACAACGAGUCGCUAGACCGCGAGGUUAAGCUAAUCUCUGAAAGUCGUUCUCAGUUCGGAUUGCAGGCUGCAACUCGACCUCAUGAAGUCGGAGUCGCUAGUAAUCGCAGAUCAGCAACGCUGCGGUGAAUACGUUCCCGGGUCUUGUACACACCGA
rnacentral:rRNA from 1 species